AUCAGAACAAAGUAAAGGUAGAA
rnacentral:snRNA from 1 species